GCCAUUUCAGUGCUGCAUUUUGGCCAGCUCUGAUAAGCAGCUUCAGGGAUCUGAAGUCAGAUCAGACACUAUCCCAAAAAAUGGAUCUUGAGCAUAUUAAGUGUUAAAAAUUUUCAUUACAGAAUCGUGAUGUGACCUGUUUGUGUGUAACACUGUGAGAAGGAGAAGGCAAGAAAAUAACAUGUGGGUACAGAUCUGCCACCCUAACUGUGUUCUUGACCUGAGCAAGGUAAGAUUCUUCCUUUGAAAUAUUUGAGGCUACUGAAAUAAGACUCCCUCAAAGUGUGCCAGCCUAUUCUGCAAGUGAAUCCUCUCCUCCCCAACACAACAGCUGCAGAAACAAAGUUAUUUAAGGGAAGAUCAUGGACUCUCCCUGAUAUCAAUCCAGCUUCUCAGUGGAUUAUUGCCACACCAAAGCCCAACCAAGACUUGGCCAUGCCUUAUCAGCCUGCACAGCAAAGGAAGAGGUCAGCACUUGGUAUCAGCACGUGUUCAAACAUCAGGUGAUUGCUGUCAGCAGCCCUGGGAACAAUUCUCCAGUGCUCUUCCUGCAAUUCUCUCAAGUAAGACAGAGCAACCACUCUUCUGCAGUGCACUGCAGAAUGCUCAGCAAGAUGGAUUAUCCUGAGACAGCAAAAGGGGCAGGACUUGUCAGAGAAACUACUCCUUUAUGAUUCUGACAGCUAUGUACAGCAGGCAAAAGAAAAAAAUACCAAAAAUAUUGAGAGAAGGCAGCAGGAGGCUGCUGCACUAUAAUUUGUUGUAUCUACCAACAAAUACACAUUAAUACAAUCUCAUAGCUACUCAGACCCUGUUUAUGCUUUUACUCCCUAAAUCAGGAUGAUUAAUAGCACCACUCAGCAAAACAAUAACAUUUCAGCUCUGUAAUUCUAUUUUAGCAGAACCUUUCCAUCCCCGAUAACCUUUUCACAAAAAAGGCCUUUUCCAAACAGUUCAAAUGCAGGGCAUUGGGGUUUUUUUUAAUGAUUCCUCUUAUUAUAGUGAUUUUGGUACUUCCAGUCAAUUCUUUACUGAAUGUGAGCAGCAUAUUAGAUUAAGAAAACUAAGGAGCAAAAAGAAAAGGAAA